CUUGACUACCCUGUUUUAUUGCAUAAGGCAAUGCAUGGGUCUAUAAAUAUAACCAGCUGAUAAAUCUCCAUAAAGGAUCUUUGCGUGCUCGAGACAUCAGUUGCUCAGGGAGACAGAAACAGACUCGAGCUUCCUUUGUUUUUGUUCCAAAAUGCGUCUCACGGAGAGUCAAGAUAAAAGACCUCCAUCAGGAUACCCAACUGAAACUCCCACCUCCGGGAAGAAAUGCUGCCCUCGCAAAAAAAAGCAGAGACAAAGCUUCAUCAAGAGACUGUAAGUAAAGCAAGCUGAUCUAGGAAGUCAAGUAUUCAUCAAUUUGCUUUUGUAUAAGCAACAUUGCAAAAAAUAUAGAUGCUUAAUCGAUUCUGACAAUGCCUUAAACGAGAGUCAAUUAUUCUCUACUCCCUAAGUUUUCAGCGUAGUUCUUCGUAUUUUAAAAACUUGCAGCUCAGUUU